CCGGCUCCCGGGGCCGUCCCCCGCCAGUCCCGGCUCCGGGAAGUCGCUGCUCCGCGGGGUUUCGCUCGCCAGGCGCGGCCGCGCUUCGCUCGGUGCUUGCCCGCAGCAGCUCCCGGUGCAAAACGCCAGCAAAGGUGAAUGGGAGGGAUGAACGAUGAGAAAUGGAACACUGUAGCUCCCAGAAAUGCAACACUGUGACGCCCAGACCAGCUUUUUAAUGCAAUUCUGUCACAACCUCGUUCUCCCACAAGGUUUUUGCCCACGCUUGCCCACAGCCUGUGCCUGCCCUGGCACAGCAGCGCUGCCGGCCCACAGCUGGCACUGGAGGGACAGAGCAGAACACACUGCUGUAAAUCUGCAUUUCUGCAGAUAAACGCGUGCAACAACCGGCAAAAGCAACGCAUAAAUAUUUCACUGGAAACUCGGACUGUGUCAGUCUUUGACUGCUCCCACAUCAUUAAAAACAGGCUGCCCUGAGCUCAAGCGUGAAGUUCUGUAUUUCUGUCUGGGAGGUUUAAUUGGAAAUUAGCGCUUAAGCGUGGUCAUGCAAUGAGUGCGUUUUUAAACAGUUGCUCUCGGGUGAAGCCAAACUGGACGUGCCAUGACUUAUUCUCCUUAAGCGUGAAUAGCCCACAAGCCGGGCUUCCCUAUUAACGCCUUGGCUACGCCCCAAACAUCUCCCUCACUACAGCAACGUCUGAUUUCCCAACUUUAGCAGCAGCCUCGGCCGCCUGACAGCCGCUGGGACCGCCGCCUUUUAUCGCUCCCGCCCGCCCUCCUUCCC